rnacentral:rRNA from 1 species
UAAUACGAACCGGACAAACGUUAUUCGGAAUCAUUGGGCUUAAAGGGUGCGUAGGCGGCCGCGUAAGUUGGGUGUGAAAUCCCUCGGCUCAACCGAGGAAUUGCGCCCAAUACUGCGUGGCUAGAGGGAGACAGAGGCGAGCGGAACUGAUGGUGGAGCGGUGAAAUGCGUUGAUAUCAUCAGGAACACCGGUGGCGAAGGCGGCUCGCUGGGUCUCUUCUGACGCUGAGGCACGAAAGCUAGGGUAGCGAACAGGAUUAGAUACCCUGGUAGUCCUAGCUGUAAACGAUGAGCACUUGGUCGGGGACCUUCCCAUGGGUUCCCGGCCGAAGCGAAAGUGUUAAGUGCUCCGCCUGGGGAGUAUGGUCGCAAGGCUG